rnacentral:rRNA from 1 species
CCCAACUUCACAAACCCCACGUGCACGUUUGCGGGAGGAAGGGGGCUCUCCGCCCCCGGAAACCGCUUCACAAACCCUUGCAAACCCAGAAUGACACGAGCGACCUCUGAGUCGUGCGAAAAUUGAAACGACUUUCAACAACGGAUCUCUUGGCCCUCGCAUCGAUGAAGAACGCAGCGAAAUGCGAUAAGUAAUGUGAAUUGCAGAAUUCAGUGAAUCAUCGAAUCUUUGAACGCACCUUGCGCUCCUUGGUAUUCCGAGGAGCAUGCCUGUUUGAGUGUCUCGAAUUCAUCAACCCCUCCCGUCUUUGCUGACGGGCCGGGGCUGGACGUGGGGGCAUGCGACCGAGAGGCCGCUCCCCUCAAAUGCGUCGGUUGGACCUGUGGGUCGGACUCGACCGGGCGUUGUACCAUCCUCGCUCCGACGAGAAGUUCCCCGUCUAGCGUCCCUCCUCGACCUGCCGUCGUGCGGCGGUCAAAAGGAAAGGCGCGAGCCUUUCGAAAUCUGACCUCAAAUCAGGUAGGACUACCCGCUGGACUUAAGCAUAUCAAUAAGCGGAGGA